rnacentral:rRNA from 1 species
AUUGAACGCUGGCGGCAUGCCUAACACAUGCAAGUCGAACGAGUGGCGGACGGGUGGGUAAUGUCUGGGAAACUGCCUGAUGGAGGGGGCUAACUACUGGAAACGGUAGCUAAUACCGCUUACCGUCGGAUGUGCCCAGAUGGGAGUAGCUAGUAGGUGGGGUAAAGGCGCACCUAGGCGACGAUCCCUAGCUGGUCUGAGAGGAUGACCAGCCACACUGGAACUGAGACACGGUCCAGACUCCUACGGGAGGCAGCAGUGGGGAAUAUUGCACAAUGGGCGCAAGCCUGAUGCAGCCAUGCCGCGUGUAUGAAGAAGGCCUUCGGGUUGUAAAGUACUGUCAGCGGGGAGGCGGUACCCGCAGAAGAAGCACCGGCUAACUACGUGCCAGCAGCCGCGGUAAUAC